rnacentral:lncRNA from 1 species
UGAAAUCAUGCCAAGGCUUGGAAGCGGACUGAAACCUCUUCAGAGAUUUCACAGGUAGUUUGCACAGAAUGUUCCGUACCACAUUCAUCAACUCCAUGAUCGAUAACUAGUUGUUUAACUUAUUUCUUCGAUCAAUGACCUUCAGAUUGCUUAUAUAUCCCGGGGAUUAGUAUGCGUAAGAAAGAGAAAAGAGGGUAAGGAGUGAAUAAAGGAGGUAAGACCAAAAGAAAAGGAAAAAAAAGGUCGGGAACAUAGUGCCGCGAGCUCUACGUGAGGCUGAAGGAAACUCUUACGUGAGGCUAACAAGGUCGAUCAUUUGAUUAUGAAUUCUCAAAAGAGAACAGGUCAUUUCGUAUCGCAAAGUCUUCUUUCCGAAUUAAACGACACAUCAUUCCUAACUUGAAUCGUGAACAAGCUACAUCUAGCUUUUAGCAAUUUACAAGCUACAUCUUUUAGCAGUUUAGCUUAUGAAAUCUGUUUGUUACUAGCAAAACUUGAUGGUAUAACUUGUCAAAGAGUUGCAUGAUAUCAUUUACCUGAUAUAUUUUUUGCAACUUUAAAUUGAUUGUGUUAGACAAUGGUUGAAGCAGAUGAUGAAGCCUAUUAGUAUGGUGUUAAAUUUUGUUGCCUCCAUAUGGAACGCAACUAUUUU